GAUGAACGCUGGCGGCGUGCCUAAUACAUGCAAGUCGAGCGAACGGACGAGAAGCUUGCUUUUCUGAUGUUAGCGGCGGACGGGUGAGUAACACGUGGAUAACCUACCUAUAAGACUGGGAUAACUUCGGGAAACCGGAGCUAAUACCGGAUAAUAUUUUGAACCGCAUGGUUCAAAAGUGAAAGACGGUCUUGCUGUCACUUAUAGAUGGAUCCGGGCUGCAUUAGCUAGUUGGUAAGGUAACGGCUUACCAAGGCAACGAUGCAUAGCCGACCUGAGAGGGUGAUCGGCCACACUGGAACUGAGACACGGUCCAGACUCCUACGGGAGGCAGCAGUAGGGAAUCUUCCGCAAUGGGCGAAAGCCUGACGGAGCAACGCCGCGUGAGUGAUGAAGGUCUUCGGAUCGUAAAACUCUGUUAUUAGGGAAGAACAUAUGUGUAAGUAACUGUGCACAUCUUGACGGUACCUAAUCAGAAAGCCACGGCUAACUACGUG
rnacentral:rRNA from 1 species